GCGUCACUCCCGGCAUAUUGCAUUUCACGCUACCGUAAUUUCUUUCUCUAGGCUACCGUCGCCGGCGUCAGCUGAACCUCUGCAUUUUACCAGAUGCUCUGGCAGCCAUCGUCGUCAUUAGCCACCCUAACAUUUCAUUGACUCAAAAACAACCGUGGCUGCCACAUCAGAGUCCUGCUGUAGGGCGUGCGUCGAAGCUCUUGCGUCGCGGCUGCUCCAGUUAUGGCCUUGACCUUUGCGAGCGCGGUUCCCGGACCCACGUUUCCUCCAGAAUUCUCGCACGACAUUAAUUGGAGCUCGUGGAACACACGUGUUACGCCCGGCGGACAUUUCAUUAUUGUCCAUGAGCUGCCGCGUAUGACACCGACGCCUCCGUUGCUGGCUGCAAGUUUCAAGUCGCGCAUGCCUUCAAGUUUUCGUUUGAGCGUGUUGCCACCCGUACGAGAACGUUGGACAACGAACUGACCGUGCCAGUUUACCGAGAGACAACAAAGCAACGCCACGUGCCUCACCAACUAACUUGCAAGAUGGGCCCCUAAUAGGUGGAUCCCGUGCAACCUAGUGACUUACACUACUCCGAGGGACAACGAUGCAGCUGUCGUCGCUACUCCAGCAGCUAAUUCACGAGCGCAACAGAAGAACGGACGUUGCUUCCGGUCUGCAGCGCGGGGCGCUGCGGCGAAGACGGUGGUGGGAGGUCACACUCCUUCUGUCUUCCGUUUUCUGUGUAACCCCGUGCUUUCUUCGCUCGACAAGCCAACCAUUUUUGACGAGUCCAUCAUCCACGCCAGCGCGAUGACGCUUGUUAUGUUCCGCGACCUGUACCUUGGCCCCUGGCACACGUGAGCAUGUUCCUGCACCAGGCCGUGUCUCGGACAGAUGUAGAGCGCCUGUCAUCCCGCCACUCACCAGGUAUCUGCUUCUGCCUCAGAGCUAUUGGCGUCCUGGGGAAUGAAGAAACCUGCUGGCCCCCACCCUGCAGUACGUUGAUUGCACUCUGGAACCCUUGUCUUGACAUCCGCCGCCCGUCAAGACCUGUCCUGCCCGGGUCGUAGGCGGUGAUAUCUACUGCUGACCGCAAGGAGGCAGGCGUUGCUCUCGCCGCAAUUGAUCACAUUGCUACGCCCGAAGACGUGGAGCCGCAGGAAAAGUAAUUCGCUCUGUGCUACCCCGACGACGGCACGCAACUACGGAGUCAUGACGCGAAUACAGAUGUGACGUCGCUGUUGGAGUUGUUCAUUCUAUCCUGUAGCUGUGUCACGGCCACUCGGCAAAGACGCGCGUUGUUGGUGGCCCUGUAUUCGGUGGACCAAACAAUUCCAGGCGACAAGCUGUUCCGGAUCAUAAGAUGUACUCUGCUCAGGGGAUAACAUUGGCUUGAUCGGGGGAUUCUCGCUCGUCAACUUUCAUUCACAUUCUGGCCUUUCGUAAUGGUACGCUGAUGCUGGUUCGCGUUGCGAAGUUGCACGUGCGUAUGUAUUCGUUUGAGCAUGCGUAAGCGACCGUGUGUUGCUCUUUGUAUGUUCUGUUGUAUGCACGCGCGUGCUACUUCGCUUAUUUCAUAUGGUACUUGGCAUAAUUUUUACUGUGUUGUGCCCCCAAUCCAUCCACGCAAUAUUUGGUUGCUUGUCUCGCGCAAUCGGUCACGUCCGUCCUUCAGAAAGUUUAUUGAUGGUUCUGCAAUGAUGAUGGCUAAUAUUUUCGGAAUCUCUUCCAACUUUGGCGCUGGACAUUUCACUCACAUGGAGGCUGUCCAGUUGUGUACUCGUAUAUUUGGCGAUGGCUCUUAUAGUUUCAUGUCAAACUGUUUCGUAUUCGAAGUUGUCUCUCUUGGCAUCUUUUCCUUAUCCACGCAUUAUAUCCAGUGCAAAAAAGCAUCAAUGUACCACUACGAAAAGCGCACCAUGUGAAUUGAAUGCAUGAAAACAUCAGCGUUAGCUUGAGAGGGUCAUUAUUAUAUAAUCAUGUCCUUUGUAAUCUGAUGCUUGUAUGACACCAAGCUCAUCUUUUUUUCUGCUGUCAUGAGUUAUGCUAGCGGUUGAGCAGCGUACUUCAGCGAGGCACCGCAGCUUCUGGACCGCCCAUCAGCGGCAUUGAUCGGACGUCACACAUACCUUCUAUUCACACAUGCCUGCUGAUGUUGCCUGUUCAUGAGACAUUUUUGCCACAAUUACUUUUAUCCUACUUGUUCACAGCCCUGUUGGAAUUUGCCUGCUUGUAUUCAUUCAUUGUAGAUUUAUAUCACACAUACUUGCUGUACCAUUUCUUCACUGAAAUUAAAUAAAAUGUUGCUUCAUAGUGCAACUCUUAAGCUAUGUGCCCCUGUGUAAAAG